AUUGAACGCUGGCGGCGUGCCUAAUACAUGCAAGUCGAGCGGGCCUCCGGAGGUGCUUGCACCUCCGGAAGGCCAGCGGCGGACGGGUGAGUAACACGUGGGCAACCUGCCUUUGAGGCCGGGAUAACACCGGGAAACCGGUGCUAAUACCGGAUGCGUCCCCUUUCGCGCCUGCGAGAGGGGAGAAAGACGGUCUUUAAGGCCGUCGCUCAAAGAGGGGCCCGCGGCGCAUUAGCUGGUUGGUGGGGUAAGGGCCUACCAAGGCGACGAUGCGUGGCCGACCUGGGAGGGUGAUCGGCCACACUGGGACUGAGACACGGCCCAGACUCCUGCGGGAGGCAGCAGUAGGGAAUCAUCCGCAAUGGGCGAAAGCCUGACGGUGCAACGCCGCGUGAGUGAGGAAGGUUUUCGGAUCGUAAAGCUCUGUUGUGAGGGAAGAACAGCUUCCGGAGGAAAUGCCGGAGGUUUGCCGGUACCUCACCAGAAAGCCCCGGCUAACUACGUGCCAGCCGCCGCCGUAA
rnacentral:rRNA from 1 species